GAGGGUAUAGCUCAGUGGUAGAGCACCUGCUUAGCAUGCACAAGGUCCUGGGUUCAAUCCCCACUACCUCCA
rnacentral:tRNA from 1 species